AUGUUUGCCUCCCGAAAUGGGAGUCUGGGAGACGAGCAGAGCAGGAACACAUGGUUCUGUGAUACUCAGGCAGCUGGAACUCACUGCUAUUCAGCCACUGAAUUUCACAUAGAGCUGCUUUACGGAGGAAGCAGAGCUAAAACUCAAGCAGCAUGGAAGUUCCUGCCGGAUUACUUAGUAGCUUCUUUCUUUGGUGGAUACAUAGCAAUCCAUUUGUUUUGCUUGAUAUCAGGAAUAAAUUUGAGGAAGUAAAUAUGCCUAAUAUUUGAAGAAAGCAUAUUUGCAGGAUAUUUCAACUUUCCUCAGUCUUUAUUUACUCUGGGGCUACUGACCACAUGAACCUCUGAACAUGUCAGCUGAAGCCUUCCUCCAGGAGCUCAAAUGGCAGAAGAGACUGCACGUUUUCAGUAGUGCAAUGGAGUGAGUUUACUUUAAGCCACGCAGUAUGCAUGCUACUAAGAAUCUGCUCCUCAGCUUUCUUUUGGAUUCCUUAUAAUUUCUUCAGAUUCACAAAUGUUCCACUAAUAAUAUACACAAUGGUCCUGCCAGUCUUCAUGCAGAGUCUGCGUAGCUAUAAAUUGCAUGACAUGACAAUUAUUAUGCAAUUUGGGGGUUGUGGAAGCCGUAAACAUCAUAAUAAUCUGAUUUAAAUACUCAGUGCUCCAACAAAUUAGGCAUGAUUAUAGUGAGUUGAGUUCUGUCUUGAAUGCAAAUGCAAUUUCAUCCAACUCUAAUAACAACUCCAUAAAAGUACACAAAGAGAGUAUGUGGC
rnacentral:lncRNA from 1 species